AGUGAACGCUGGCGGUAGGCCUAACACAUGCAAGUCGAACGGCAGCACAGUAAGAGCUUGCUCUUACGGGUGGCGAGUGGCGGACGGGUGAGGAAUACAUCGGAAUCUACUUUUUCGUGGGGGAUAACGUAGGGAAACUUACGCUAAUACCGCAUACGACCUACGGGUGAAAGCAGGGGAUCUUCGGACCUUGCGCGAUUGAAUGAGCCGAUGUCGGAUUAGCUAGUUGGCGGGGUAAAGGCCCACCAAGGCGACGAUCCGUAGCUGGUCUGAGAGGAUGAUCAGCCAAACUGGAACUGAGACACGGCCCAACCCCCGAGGGGGGGCAGGAGGGGGGAAUAUUGGAAAAUGGGGGAAAGCCUGAUCCAGCCAUACCGGGGGGGGGAAGAAGGCCUUCGGGUUGUAAAGCCCUUUUUUUGGGAAAGAAAAGCAGCAGGUUAAUACCCCGCUGUUCUGACGGUACCCAAAGAAUAAGCACCGGCUAACUUCGG
rnacentral:rRNA from 1 species